AUUGAACGCUGGCGGCAGGCCUAACACAUGCAAGUCGAGCGAGCGGCGGACGGGUGAGUAAUGUAUGGGGACUUCCCGAUAGAGGGGGAUAACUACUGGAAACGGUAGCUUAUUCCGCAUACUAUCGGAUAUCCCAUAUGGGAUUAGCUAGUAGGUGAGGGAAUGGCGCACCUAGGCGACGAUCCCUAGCUGGUCUGAGAGGAUGAUCAGCCACACGGGGACUUGGAAACGGCCCAGACUCCUACGGAGGCGGGAGGGGGGAAUAGUGCACAAUGGGCGAAAGCCUGAUGCCGCCAUGAGGCGUGUAUGAAGAAGGCCCUAGGGUUGUAAAUUACAUUCAGUCGGGAGGGGUUACCGACAGAAGAAGCACCGGCUAACUCCGUGCCAGCAGCCGCGGUAAUAC
rnacentral:rRNA from 1 species